UGGGGAUUGGAGCAUUCGGGCUUAACGGUCUUUUUGUUCUGAAAACCAUUUUUAUCGCAAUGGCUUGAACCGGGUAAAAGUCGUAACAAGGUAGCUGUAGGUGAACCUGCAGCUGGAUCAUCG
rnacentral:rRNA from 1 species